CCGUCACGCAGAACCUGCGCUCGGAGCGAGCCGCCGUGCUUUUUCAGCUCCGUGUUUCUGACAUUCUGCAUGUGCGCAGGAGAUAAUGCGUGUGAAAUGUGCAUGCCUCAGAUGAAAAGACUUUAUCCGCCUUUCAAAGUGUUCAACUCUUAAUAUCUGUGCGUCGCCGCUGCUAUUAACAAACCGAGGGGAAACGCAACACAAAUUAUCCAGCUGCAAAUUUCCCAACAUGUUAUGCAAGACGGGGGCGAAGGAGUUGAGAAACCAGAGGGAAGGAGGGAGGAGGGGACGCUUUCCGAGAGCAACGACUGCAGAAAGUGGCUGAGCUCGGUCUGGAUUUGAAACUGUGGAAGUCCCCACCCCCUCUAAUCAACCAGAACUGGGCAUGAGGGACAACUUGGCGAGGCCGUCCGCUGACCCCUGGAGACCCGCAGCAGGCUGCUGGUGAGGAGUGAAGCCCAGUGAGCAGCUGCUCAGGCCAGAACCACCAGAACCCGGGCGGCGCUCCGGCCAGCUCAACGCCCAGAGGAAGAGCCAUCGUUUACCAGCCGUCUGCUUUCUGAGUGCCAACACGUGUCCAAAAUAAGCAUCAGUCCGGUUGCGUCACAUGCGAGCCUGCAUGCGGCGCUCACGGGUUGUUGCCUUUCUCAAACAUGUAGAAAGUCACAGUUUCAGGGCUUUCAGCGCCGGAGCUAAAGUAUUAUUAACAGAUGUCUUCCUUCUGCUGUCUUUAGCUUUUAAUACUGAAGCAACUUAAACGUGAUGAGUUUAACUGCUCAGAUUUCUGUAACUAUUAACUGUUGAACUUUUGAAGCAAUAAAACCAGAUGACGUUUUUAAAAACGCGUGAAGAAAGCCUUCAUCCGUGAUCGUCGUCUCCUCUUACAGUCUGCUGAGCUCCAUUUACCAGGAUGAAAAGGCAGAUAAGCAGAUUACAACCACAUGGCGUCGCUUGCACCGCGCAUACAGAGCAAACGUGCCGACCGAUCGCCAGACGUCGCAGGAAACUUCAGCGUUAAUGGGGCUGUUUAUAAAACGCCACAGCAGCAGCGGGCCAUCGCUGUGCAAACACAUAAUUCACCGUGUGAGAUCUGCACCGCAGAUGACACUGAUGUCUGAGCAGAUUUAGAAGAAAACUGAGCAAUUACGCUGGCAUCUUUUAGACUGUCAAACUAAAGGCCCGGGGGCCAAAUCUGGCACACCACAGCUUUUUAUGUGGCCCUUUGGACUCCAGUGGGUCACAUAAAUAGACCUUCAAGAUAACAGUUGUGUGUUUUCAUGUUAUUUUAUCAAUCAAAUCAAAGGAGUUUUUAUCUGUAUACUGCAAAAUUACAUCAAUCAGUCCUUGUAGUUUUUCACACAAAUGCAUAAUUGUCAGUUCAAUGCUAAUUUUCUGCAAAAAGGAUCAAAAUCAUUAAGUGUUGCAUGUAAAUUUGUGUGUAAUUUAAUCUCACUGUAAAUGCAGCUUUUAUUUUCCGAAGGCCUCACUGGGUUUUUAGUCAGUUAGCAAAAUUCACACAAAAUCAGCAGAUUUUAUGCAAAACUGUGAGUUAAAUGAUUAAAAACAUUGGGUUUUGGGUGUUUUCACACCUCAUACUCCAGUUGACUUUGUUCAAUUCAGACCAAAAUGGCAACAAAUCAAAAUAAUUGAAAAUACUGUUCCACUCCCCGCCUGUGGGGGCGCUGCACCAAAAACCACUGACACAAAAGCCUCUGAAGAAGACACUAACACUUCCUUCUUCCUGAAAUGUAAACGAAAAUAAAGCGUGAUCAGAUUUUA